rnacentral:misc_RNA from 1 species
ACAGUAUUAAAAAUGAAAGUAGGCCUGUGUUUAGGAUGGAAAACGUCAGAAAUGGUUUUUUCGCUGCUGUCGGUUUGCUUGGACUAAUCGUCAAAGUAACGUUCUUGACCGUGAAAUCGAUUGUCCUUUAUCCUAUCUACAGGGAAAACAAAGAUAUAAAAGAUGACAUUUUGCUGAUCACUGGCGGAGGGCGGGGGAUCGGGAAAGCACUGGCCCUGGAGUUUGCCAAACACAAACCAAAACACAUCGUUCUAUGGGGAAGGACGGAGGGAAGCUUACAGAAGACUGCUGAAGAAGUGAGAGAAGCGGGGGUCAAGUGCUCCUACAUGCUGUGUGAUGUCAGUCAGUCAAAGGAAAUCUAUAAACAUUAUGCUGACGUAAAGAAAACAAUUGGACCUGUUACCUUACUGGUCAACAAUGCUGGCAUCGUGCAUGGGGGACAAAUUAUGGACAUCCCCGAUGAAGACAUAAUAAAAACACUAAGUGUCAAUGCCAUGGCCCACUUUUGGUUCACAAGGCAUCUAAUUAAUCCAAAAAAGCUUGAUAUCUUUUGAUAUUUCAAAGAAAAAGCCAACAAUGUUGAUUUGAAGAGAAACUGAGUAUCCUGUAUAUUUCAGACAAUAAAAGCGGUGCUUCCAGACAUGAUAGAGUCCAAUCGUGGUCACCUAGUCAGUAUUAGUUCAGUCCUGGGGUUGCUCGGGAUGAGAGGUGUCAGUGACUACUGUAGUUCAAAGUUCGCUAUAUCGGGACUGAUGGAGGCCCUGCAGUGGGAACUACAGGAGUAUAGUAACAUCCACAUCACCGCGGUCCACCCGUACCUGGUGGAUAAUCAGAUGUUUGCUGGGUUAAAACUCAGAUUUCCAUGGUUAGUUCCGCCAUUAAAUGAGAGUUAUGUUGCCAAGCAAACCGUUUCUGCCGUGUUAACUAACAGACAGAGUGUUGUCAUGCCUCGGAUUAUGCACAUUGUACUGUGGGCCAGGAGUCUCUUUCCAGUGGACGCCAUGUUACCUAUAUUGAGAUUCACUGGUGUAGAUCGGGCCAUGAUGGACUUCCCUAACGCUCCAAGAAAUGUGGACUUCAUGAAAAAUACCACUGCUGUUCAAUAGAAUUUUCAUUAGGAUAAUAGGUUCAUAUUUCAACCAAUGAGGCUCGUGAUGAAGACUAUAGACUAUAAAACCAGAAACGGAAGCUCUGCUGAUUACAGGAACUGUUGAUGCUGUUUUCAUUUAUGUCACAGAACACUGAAUUGUCUCUUACAUAUGUGUUUUUUUAAAACAUUGUUGUAACCAAGAUAGCAUUUUUGAAAUAUUGCUCAUUGUUUUUAUUAAAUAGUGUCUGCUGCU